UCGCUCUUAGUUCAGUUCGGUAGAACAUGGGUCUCCAAAACCCAAUGUCGUAGGUUCAAAUCCUAUAGAGCGUG
rnacentral:tRNA from 1 species